AGCAGGAAACUACCUUACGUGGGUGUCUGGACAUCACCCUCUGCUCAAGCAUGGAGAAAGUGAUCUAGCAACACACCCAACCUGCCUGACAGCUUUGGUCCUGGAGUUCAAGGGGAAGGCAGUGAGGAAAAUCGUCCAGGUGCAAUUGCAACUUUCCACAGAUUGAUGCCUGUGCAGUCUCUCUGUUUAACUGCUGUACUCAGGGUUGUAAUUUAGCCUGUGCCUAAUGAAAUGUUAAAUUUGCUUGACACAUGUUUAGUAGAUGGUCCUUCUAAAUACGAAACUAUUUAGAGAAGUAAAAAUGCAUUUAUCUUUUAUUCUAUUAUUGGUUAUAGAGUAAAUAUCAUGAAUAUCUAUGCAAAGUAAGAAAAAAAAUAAGCAGGAUUCCAUGAAGAUUCAAAUAAAAAUGUUCUACUUGAAUUUAAUUGUUUUUGGCAGCUUAGCCAAGUGAACCUCUCAGUCUGUAUUCAAGGAGUCCCACGAAAACUGCAGUGAUUGGAAAACACGACAGUUGAUUUCCAAGUAAAGCAAGAAGGCAUGUGAUUGAUUCUACCACUGCUUAACACAAAGCUGAAAAGGAACAAAUGAGAAAGAUUAAUCAUCUUGAAACCCCGGGAGAGGCCAGAAUCAGAACUUCUAUCUGAUUCAAAGAAAAGGACAGCAUCAAAGUCAUGCUCCCAUCAUGCCUUUUACACUCGCACCCUGACCUGAAUACCUGGCGUCACCUUUUUUCUUCUUCUUGUGACUAAAUCUUAUCUUGGACUUUUUCAUCUUAAAGUUCUGCCCACUCCCUCAUGCUGAGCUUCCAGUUCCAAUAGCCUGAAUGACUGUGGCUACAAGCUAGGAGAACAGGGGGCCUCUAGCCAUCGAGCUCUCUGUUGUGCAAAGCCAUUUGCACCCCUCUUAGCCUUAACACUUACCACUUGGACUGGUCCUGUCUUGUUCCUCUGGAAAGUUCCAGACUCCAGUGUUGAGAGCAGGAGAGGACGAAGAAGCCCUCCACGUAGCGUGUGUGCUAACGCCGGGUGUGUGUGCCCUCACCUGCGUGUGUCUCUCUGUGGCUCCGGGCAGAGUGCGAGGUAGAAUGAGAACUUGAAGUCCUCUAAAGGAAGGCAUCGGGGCCGUGAUUGUUACAGCUCUUCUCCGCAGACUUUCUAGUCUCACAAGGAAUUUCUUCCACGUCUUGGAGUUGACAGGAAUUGGACAAGCCUUGGUCUUACCACAACCCAGCGCAUUGGGCAAUCUAAGGGCGGGACUCUCCCUCAACAUUGGGGUUGCCAGUUCAGUAGGGCCUGAAGUUCCUUUUCUGAAAAGGAAAGUCCAUGCUGUGGCAAAAUUGACUAAACUUGGUUUUUCGUUUGUUUGUUUUGUAUUUGUGUGUGUGUGAGGGGGAGUUCCACUUUUAAUUAACCCAA